rnacentral:rRNA from 1 species
UACGUAGGCAGCGAGCGUUGUUCGGAGUUACUGGGCGUAAAGGGUGUGUAGGCGGUUCUUUAAGUUUGGUGUGAAAUCUCCCGGCUCAACCGGGAGGGUGCGCUGAAUACUGAGGGACUAGAGUACGGGAGAGGAAAGUGGAAUUCCUGGUGUAGCGGUGAAAUGCGUAGAUAUCAGGAGGAACACCGGUGGUGUAGACGGCUUUCUGGACCGUAACUGACGCUGAGACACGAAAGCGUGGGUAGCAAACAGG